AGAGCUGUGUCCUGUUUCCAGGCACAGCAAGGACAGCUGGGUUCAGACUGAAGCAAGACCCGAAAUGGAUGCCCUGUUGGAGAGCAUUGGUGAUUUACCCUACAGGCAACCAUUGGCUCAUUUUGUGCUACAGGAAAGGGGUUGUGCCAAUUCACAUGCUCACUGGCGGUACACAAGAGUCCCACAGCCUCCACCAAAGAGUGAGUUACCCAACUCUGCAUUUUUCUCCCAAUCUCAGUGUAAUCGAAUUUGAAUAUCUAUUCCUAUGUUUAAGAAAGAGGAUUUAAAGAGUUCUGGUUUUGUCUCCUAAAAGGAAAAAAAAAAUGCAUCUGGAACCUCCAUGUUACUUGUUUACAUUUAAGGAUAAAUGAAAAAUGCAGUAAUUUCCCGUAAUGUCCACAAAAUCAGUGACUUGCCGAAGUCCACACACCUUUCCCUAUCUGGAAAGAAGCUUCUGUGGAAGGCCUCUGUUUCCCAGGAUACCUCACUUCCCACCGUCCCAGGGACAGGCUGUGAGAUCCCACUCCUCCACACUCCCCACUGUUGACUCCCCACAGUCAGCUCCCCUCUGAGUGCCCAGCCUGGGCUCCAGUAGUUUAUUUAAAAGCAUGACGAGCCCUCUAAUUAUGGAGAUAAAAGCUGCCUGUGAUGCAGAGCAGGGCUUGGGUUGAAAGGUCUCUUUUUUGGCUCUUUCCCAUCUCAUUAGAGUUGCGGGGGUGGCUGGUCACCCCAAGGUUUAAUCCUUGGAGGCAGUGUGACAGCAAAUGUGGCAAGAAUCACAGCUCAUUGAUUGUUCCAUUAAAAAUUUCUACAGGUACCUGUAAAAGUGCCUUUCAAGUUGCUUCAGUCUGAAGAAUCUUAUUGCUCCUAAAUUGAGGUCAAUUAAUCCCCUGAAAAUGUGUGGCAUUCACAAUUUGAUGUCAUGGCCUCCAUGUGAACAUCUCUCUCUGCAUGGAUGGAGGAAGCGAACAGCUCUUCCUUCUUCCUGCCUUUCCCACUUCCCCUAAAUCUAAAGAGCAAUUCUCUGCCUUUGCGAGCAUAGGCUGGUGAGAGCAGGGAGAGCAAGACCACACUGCUCAGCAGCCGUGUUUACCAUCUGAUCAUCAUGGAGGGACAACUGAGUGCACAGUGUCCUUCCAUCCAUCAUUGCAAGACCAGGGAAGGAAAUUUGGCCCUCGGGCAGGCUGUAGCCCAGGAAAAAGGCUAUCCUCAGAAGGCCAGCCGCCUUCUCUAGUUUGCAAACAGCACAGAUUUAGAGCUUGCGUUCCUUCUCAUCCCAGGAACCACAUAUGAGCACCUCUCCCUGCCAUGGUUCUCACGAUGCCUGGAUGGUCCUUAUUUAAGUAUUGAAUCAGGAGAGGGCAAGAGGCUUCACCCAAGACGGCUGUGAGGUGGGGAUGCUUGAGCUGCCCGCAUCUGCUGGUCAAUGUGUCACCUCCAUCCUCUAACCCAGAGAGCAUUUCUCUUCAUUUCCUCUGCUUCUUGCUCCCUACAUUCAACACUCUGACCUCACUCUGCCAUCUCUCAAAAGCUAACCCCAGACUCCUCUUCUCAGUACAGGGCUCUGGUGACCAGGGAGACUGGGAUGUGAUGAGCAGGGCCUUGGGAGCCAGUUAUAGAGAGUUAAGUCCUGGCUUGGUCAUUUACAAUCCCUGAGUACUUUAACUUUUCUGAAAUGUAGUUUCUUCAUCUGCAAAAUGGGCUAGUAAUACCAAUGUGCAACAGCAAUAGGUGAGGAUUGAAGGAGACAUUUAGGAAGUCUCUGGCCCCAUACAGAGUACUCAUGGCAGCUGUGAAAGUGUGCUUCCCGGGUGGAGGAUGAGCCCAUCUACUGGUCCUUUGGAUCCACUAGUGGGUUUGCUUGGAGGUCACACUUACCACAGCUGCUCCCAGGUGGUGACUGGGCCCUACAGGGAUGCGAAGACAGGCCCAUUCCAGAGAGAUGUGGGAUUUCUCUGACAGACAGUUGUGGCUCAAGGACUCUCCCUGAGCCUUGCUAGAACUUUCUUGGAGCUGUGCUGCAGUGUCUAGACAAGCUUCCUUCCUUUCCUCCUCCUCCUUCCCUCUGACCUUCACAGGGCCAGACCUGCACCAUAGCUUGAGGGUUCUCCCACCUUCUUGGCCCCUUCCAGACCGUGUCUCCCAAGAAAUCCCUCAGGUGUCUAAUCCCAUCUUGGUAUCUGUUUCUGGAAGACCCAAACUACACAGCACUCAAACCAUUUUAGUUCCAUCUCCUUUUUGCUAAAUAUAUAGUUUAAAGGCUGUGUUUAAGGAUUACCUAGAAAUCAUUUUAGGGUAUAAUGACAUGUUAUUUAUUUAUUUUAAAAUUAUGUUUGCUCCACUUGGUGAAAAUUUCUGUAAGUACCUCUGAGAUCAUGGAUCCUGGGGCUUCACUGAGCAUCAACCUUUGGGGAACUGCUUCUAAUGCUGAUAAAAGUGUCAGGAUCUUUCCUUGUUGACUGGGACUGGCAUUUUUUAUGUGAGGGCAGGAGAACAGCGUUAGCAUCUCUGCAGGUGUUGUGCUGCCCCAAACCAGCAUCUUUCUUCACAGGGGGGCUAGAGAGGGUGGGGGGCCACUUCAGGCCCUAGAACCUUUGGGUGCAUGAAUAGAAGUGCCAUCAGCCUCUUUGCGGUCUCAGAAGACAGUACUCUUUUGCUCUAUCUGAUUUUUUUUUUUUAAGGAAUCUUACCUCCUUGGUGCUAAGUGGUGACAGAUACUUUGACACUUACUUCUUUUGCCCCAUAAAUCAGCCCUGGGUCCUGGGCAGCUUAGAAUCAUGAGACCAUAAAAAUAUGAAAUGACAAAGCAUGGAGUGGUCUUAGAGAUAAUUAAAUUGACCUGCCUUACUUGAUACUUGAGGAAAGAGGCCUAGAGUACAUCAGAAGUGAAUCUACCCUUGACUUCCUUUUUAAAAAAUCCAUCCAUUCAUGCAUUCACCUACCAGUCCAUUCAUCCAACCAGCCAUCCAUCUAUCCAUCCAUCCAUUCCUCCAUCCACCCAUCUAACCUUCCAUCCAUCUACCCACUCAUCCAUCCAUCCAUCCAUCCACCCACCAAACCACAUAAUUCAUCCACCUACCCAUCCAUCCAUUCAACCAUCCAUCCAUCCACACACCAAAUUACCACAUAAUUCAUCCAUCCACCCAUUUACCCACCCACCUAUUUACCUGUCCAUUAAUCCAUCUAUCCAUCCACCCACCUAUCUACCCAUCCAUCUAUCCACCCACACAUCUACAAAUCCAUCCAUCCAUCCAUCCAUCCAUCCACUCAUCAAUUUGCCCCAUCGUCCAUCCAUCCAUCCAUCCAUCAAUUUACAUACCAGAGGUAGACCCUGAAAAUAAAAAGAUGAAUAAGAUGUGGUCUCUACCUCCUGGGGCUCUCCCAGUCCAGCAUUCCCUUCCAUUGCUUUAAAGGGCUCAAUUCAAUCUUGUCUCUGAAAUGGGCCAUGUCACCGUUCACUAAGCAUCUUCCAGUGCCAGCCUUUCAGAUUCCAUCAACAACACAUUGGCUGUGGGCAUGCAGGUCAUGAGAACAAGGUCAGCAGCAUACGCCUGCCCAUUGCUCCCCAGAGGAAGGAACUCCAAUGUCCAGGGUCUGGGGGAUCUGUGCUUCCAGCUUGGCAGGCUCUCCCAGCAGAGAGCAACCACUUUUAAACUUCUGCUUCUCCCUACUUUCCAUCCUUCUCCCUUCUCUUCCUUCUCCACAUUGUCCUGGUAGCUUACCAUUCCCAAUCCUGCUCCCCUCAAGCACGUUAGCUUUGAGGCCAUCCAGAGAUCGAUUCAUCUCAUGGUCCUGUUUUUCCCAUUGCCUUUCACAUCAGAGACCUUUUCUCUCUUCGAGCAAACCAAUUUCCUUCUGUGAUUACUGCUUGGAUAGAAAGGACUCUGUUGUGUGGUGUGGGGAGUUCAGGAGGAUGGUGGGCACUGAGCCAUUACCAAGUUUGCACUUGUUGCCUUCUGGCCAAGGACCCAGAAUGUUUAUUCAAAGGAGCAAUUUUUAAAUAAGACACUGACACCAGUAUCUGGUCUAAGAGAAGAGCA
rnacentral:lncRNA from 1 species